CGCCACUGCACCGGCCCGCGGCGGAGCAACGGGGUCUUGGAGGAGCUGGCCUGCCCUGCCCCCCGGUCGCAACAAGUUCUCCAGGUAGCUGCCUACAUCUCGCGGGUUGGAGCUGCGUAGACGUCCAUCUGCCCCCAACCGCCAGGAUCGGAGCUGCAGAGGCAAACUCCAUUCGAUCGCACGCCCUCCCUGCUCCGCUGACAGCCCAGCCCCUCCCCAAGCCGCAUCCAUGAGGUCCUGGUAGAGACUCCAGCGGACGAUUGGGUGAAUGCAUGCGUUCCAAACAGCAGCCCGGAACCGCGUUUCUCCUUUCUUCCUUUGCCCGCUUGACCGACUUUGGCUACACUCAAGGCCCCGAGGUGCCUGCGCCGCGCUUGGCUUCGCUUCCCGCCUCUCUCAGGAGGCCCGGGACUGUGGUUUCCGCUCGCCACAUCUCCUCCUGGCGCGCACGCAAGAGCUUGGCGGGCUUCCCGCCCGCGCCUGGAGCCGACUGCUUCAGGCCUCAGUUUCCCCCUUCCUUUCGGAUCAGAGACGCGACACACGAAACGGUUCUGGGAGGACGAAUGGCGAAUGGAUUGCUUGGUGACGGCCCCGAAGUACCUCUGUGUGAAGUGGGGUCCAGAUUGGAGCAUGGCCGCCUGUCUCCCAGAUCCGUAACUUCCCCUGUUCAUCCCUCUCCGCCGACUUCUCCCCACCUCCACGCGUACCAUCCGGAGAUGAAACACUGGCGCUGUCUCGCUUCCCACACUGGGAACGGAGCCCACCACCCUCCAUGAUCUCAGUCUCUCCUCAGCGCGACCCACAGCCUGCUGGGGCUCCUUUGGCAGCGUGGGUGUGCCCAGCUGUGGGUAGGUGAAGACAAGCCAGGUUCUAGUCAGCAGGUGCACGCUUGGGUGUGGGCAGGGCUGGUUCCUCGGGGGGGCUGUCUGCUCCCUUGUGAUUGCUGCUGGCCUGGGUACAUUUGAAGACUCGCAGGUGGUGCCUUCCAGCAAACUGUUGGCAUGCCCGCCACUGAGCUUUAGGAGAAGGCCUGUUAGAGCCUGGGAACGGCACAUGAGUCCACGAACCCUUCCCGGCCUCAGCUCCCUCCUCUGAAAAAUGGGCAAAACAGGUCCUGCCACGGAGGACAAUGGCAAAGAGUCAAUGAGAUCAACCCUGGCACACAGUAGUGCUCAUGAAGCAGUAGCCGUUUGGGCCCCUAACUUCUCUGCACUUACUCUCUCUCUCCAUAGAUAUAUGUGCAUAUACGUAUAUAUUU
rnacentral:lncRNA from 1 species